GGGGGGUGGGGGACGGACACAGCACACCGCAGGGCAGGCUUCCCGCUUGGAAGGGGGGGUGGGGGACGGACACAGCACACCGCAGGGCAGGUUUCCCGCUUGGAAGGGGGGUGGGGGACGGACACAGCACACCGCAGGGCAGGUUUCCCGCUUGGAAGGGGGG